GAAUAAUGAUGCACCAUAAUGCAGCCAGUUUUUCUCACUUGAUGAAUGUCUUCCUUUAGGUAAUUAUUCUGCUGUUUCCAUCAUCAAAAAUAUUUCAGUGAGAUCCAGAAGUAAAUUCAUGUGACCGUUUUGUCAUUGCAGACUGUAGAAGAAGCUCCUACGAGAAGCUUGAGUUUGAUCCAGAAUUGCUGGUCAUCUUGAAAGCGAGACAACCUUCAGAAACCAUCCCACAAUUCCCACAACUCUC
ensembl:processed_transcript